UACAUUGGUAUUCUUUUGCCUGUAGCAUUCCCCUGACCCCCAAAUAAGGAUACAGCAGUAACAACUAACUCAGAUGUGGCAUGUUGGGCUAAGCAAGUGUCAAGUUCCCACCUCCAGGGAUUGGAUUGAAGCCCAUAAAUGAUGACCUGUUUUCAGUACCACCCAAGGUGUAUGCCAGCAAAAGGGCAUUGCCUCAGAGGUGAAACCUUCUCCUGAAGCAAGGCUGGUAGACCCACAUCAUUUCUUUCUUGGACAACAAUGGAAGCCAUCACAGAUUACGCUUACCUGUGGCCUAACAUCAUCUACUGAUUCCUCCUAUGACUAAUAUACUGAGGUAGCUACCGGAGAGGAUGGAGACCCUGAUCUUAACAUCACUUUUGAACGAUCACUUUGCAAACUGCUCAGUGUCACUUAGGUCAUGGUGCUCCUGUAUCUGGAGGAGGAGUGGUUGCAGUGGUGGCUCAAGUUGGGACGGAUGGUGAUUGGGCCAUGUGAUGGACUGAUGGGUGCAGAGGGGCUGGAUUUGUGGUUUUGAUUUACUGAGGGAAAACCCAGAACUCUCAGAUUUGGGUUUUCCCAGAUGUGCCAGUGUACCUACUCUAAUAAAUGGAAGUUUUGAGAUAA